rnacentral:lncRNA from 12 species
CCCGUCACUGCUGUCAUUCCCUCCCCAAUAGGUUCCUUGCAGGCCCUCAAACUUGCUUUGCUCUGGGUGCAGUGGUUUGGCAGAGUACCGCCUAUAUGAACUGAGAAUAAUAUAACUCCAGAAGAGAGGGCUCUCAGAGUCCUACCCCACCCCUGCUGUGAGAUCUGGGAGGCUUAAGCAGAAUUUCAAGUAACUUCUCCCUCAAGUACAUUUGCCAAGCAUCUCGUAUAUAAAAGCAAACAAAACAAAACAAAACAACAGGUCCUGUAACCAACAGGUCUUGUGUUAUUUUCUCCUCAGGAGACUCAAGAAGGUGAGGUCCUUAGUCUGAAGGAGCAAUUCCACUCUGGCAGACGGAGGGAUUCCAUACUCUGAGAGGAGUCAAGGCCUCUCAAGGACUUAAGAGCUUCGGCCAAAGAACAAUGUCAGGCUUCUGUGGCCCAGGAAGGAGUAGCCAGGAGAAUAGCAAGAGGACUGGGGAGGCUGGGGGCUCUGGGCGCUGGCAGGCCCGGGCCAGCAGAGAGAGAAGCCCAGGCCCAGAGAGACGCGGUGAGGACCUGCGUGAGGAGCCCUAAGCAGUGAAGUCGCACAGAGCCCCGCCUCUGCUUUCAAUCCUUGGAGACCCUGGACCGCGGCCAACACCGGAUGCGGUUCACCCGACUUCCGUUCUGGGUGGGGCUUCCACCGCCGGGCGCCAUAUUUGUGCGCUUGGCGGGAGCCGGAUUCCCGGGACUGAUCUGAAUUCAAGGUAAGAACUCUGAGGGGGAACCGAAGAGAUUCCUCCUCCCCCCUCGGCCUCCCAUAAUAAAGUUGGGUCCCUGAACCUGACCCUUUGGUUU